rnacentral:rRNA from 1 species
AAUCAACGCUGGCGGCGUGCCUCAGACAUGCAAGUCGAACGCGAAAGUCCCCUUCGGGGGACAAGUAGAGUGGCGCACGGGUGAGUAACACGUAGGUAAUCUACCUUCGGAUGGGGAAUAACAACCGGAAACGGUUGCUAAUACCGCAUAAUGCAGCGGCACCUAAUGGUGACAGUUGUUAAAGACGGGGGAGUCGAAAGACCCCGCGUCUGAAGAGGAGCCUGCGGCGGAUUAGCUAGUUGGUAAGGAAUGGCUUACCAAGGCGACGAUCCGUAGCCGGCCUGAGAGGGCGGUCGGCCACACUGACACUGACAUACGGGUCAGACUCCUACGGGAGGCAGCAGUCGGGAAUUUUGGGCAAUGGGCGAAAGCCUGACCCAGCAACGCCG